rnacentral:rRNA from 1 species
CCUACGGGUGGCAGCAGUGGGGAAUAUUGGACAAUGGGCGAAAGCCUGAUCCAGCCAUGCCGCGUGUGUGAAGAAGGCCUUCGGGUUGUAAAGCACUUUCAGUGGGGAAGAAAGCCUUGGGGCUAAUACCCUCGAGGAAGGACAUCACCCACAGAAGAAGCACCGGCUAACUCCGUGCCAGCAGCCGCGGUAAUACGGAGGGUGCGAGCGUUAAUCGGAAUUACUGGGCGUAAAGCGCGCGUAGGCGGUCUGAUAAGCCGGUUGUGAAAGCCCCGGGCUCAACCUGGGAACGGCAUCCGGAACUGUCAGGCUAGAGUGCAGGAGAGGAAGGUAGAAUUCCCGGUGUAGCGGUGAAAUGCGUAGAGAUCGGGAGGAAUACCAGUGGCGAAGGCGGCCUUCUGGACUGACACUGACGCUGAGGUGCGAAAGCAUGGGUAGCAAACAGGAUUAGAUACCCUGGUAGUC